rnacentral:misc_RNA from 1 species
CCAAUUGCUAGUUUUAUACAAGUGACUGAGUUUACGAUUAAAGAUGCCUACACACUCAGGUUUUUUGAAAACAACUCAAGUCGCUUACCGAAGUGGUGCAAUGAUGGAGACAAUGUGAAGCUCCCCUUUUGUCAGAUUCGUGGCAAGUAUCGAAUGGAGCUACCAGGAUACAACACUAUGGAUCCUUAUCCCCAUAUGAAUGAAAGAUGUCCAUCACUUCCCCCAAAAUACUCUAGGCCACAAAAUUGCUAAACAACUUUAAUUUCUCUAAGUUAUUACACAACGGAUGACGUCAUUGGAGGUUCAUGCAAUGCACUGUCUCUUGAUACAACAUCUGGAAGCUGCCCAAAGGAGAGUUUAGCAUGUCGG